UUCUACAAUGUAGAAAAUAGUUACACAAAAAAAAACUAGAAUGAGUAGGUGUGUCCAAACUGAAAUAGAAAUUAGAGUUAUAUACACACUGCUGUAGAGAGAAGGAAGGGCCUGGGUCAGAAAGUAGGAAGGGCUUGGGUCAGAGAGUAGGAAGGGCUUGGGUCAGAGAGUAUGAAGGGCUUGGGUCAGAGAGUAUGAAGGGCUUGGGUCAGAGAAGUAGGAAGGGCUUGGGUCAGAGAGAGGAAGGCUUGGGUCAGAGAGUAUGAAGGGCUUGGGUCAGAGGUAUGAAGGGCUUGGGUCAGAGAGAGGCUUGGGUGAGGUAAGGGCUGGGUCAGAGAGUAUGAA
rnacentral:lncRNA from 1 species